rnacentral:snRNA from 1 species
GUUGCUUCUUGGCUUUUUGGCUAAGAUCAAGUGUAGCAUCUGUUCUUAUCAGUUUAAUAUCUAAGAGGAUUUCCGACUGUACUUCUGGUGCUAUCAGAAGCAAGGACCAUGAGCUCCAUGGCCCUGUUCUGAGUUCACACCAUCAGAGAGCUCCA